rnacentral:rRNA from 1 species
UACGUAGGGUGCGAGCGUUGUCCGGAAUUAUUGGGCGUAAAGAGCUCGUAGGCGGUCUGUCGCGUCGAAUGUGAAAACCCGGGGCUCAACUCCGGGCUUGCAUUCGAUACGGGCAGACUAGAGUUCGGUAGGGGGAGACUGGAAUUCCUGGUGUAGCGGUGAAAUGACGCAGAUAUCAGGAGGAACACCGGUGGCGAAGGCGGGUCUCUGGGCCGAUACUGACGCUGAGGGAGCGAAAAGCGUGGGGGAGCAAAACAGG